CAGGCAUCGAGCCAGUACUUACGAUGCAGAGAGGACUAAGACUCUGUUCCCACUCUCCAUAAGACACUACCAAAGUGUAGAGUUAGGGAAGACAGCUUCAAUGUGUUCAUUUCUUUCAUAUAUUUAACUAAGCUUUUUUUUAAGUUUUAUUUUCUAAGCACAUAAGGCAGACUUUGUUAGCUUUGAGGGGAAUCUGUGCUGGGUAGGGAGGUGGUAAGAAAAGGAUGAAAAGAGAAACAGUCUUUUCUCCAAGCAAGUUAAUGCUUGAAUAGGGGGAAUAAGACAUAGUAGGAUGUAGACACUAAGACUGGAUUCUAAUCUUCUGGGAUUCCAAGUUCUUCUGCAUGAGCUUAAUGACAAUGAGAUUGCUUGUGACUUCACUCCUCGCCUUGACCACACAGAUGGAAGGUUUUGGCUGUGUUAGGUCAAUGCAUGGGGAAAGGUGUCAGCUUCCCCACCGUGCAGUCAGUGUUGUGCAAAAGCAGAGGCAGGAUCUGAGGGCAAGACAAACUGGGGGCUCCUGCUUGAUUGUCUCACCUGCCCCUCUUUGGCAGCGGGUUGUGUCCCUGGCCUUUUAGACCUAAGCAGAGAGGGAAUUUCAAGUCAGGUGGCGCCUGUACAGUCUAUGGAAUAGGUAGUUAAUGAGGUCUGGAGUUGAUGUUGCCUUCCUCUCCUUCUCUGAUCACUUUCAUGUCACUCACCCAUCCCAGAUGCCAUGGUGUUCUCAAUGCCCCAGUUCUGGGGUUUCCUGCCCCACUCCACCUUUCCUUUCCUGAUCCUCAAGAAAACUGACUUCUUUUCCUAAGCCCCCCGUCUCCACUUUGUGAGGGGCAUUCUGAGCAUGGAGGCUAAUCAAUAUGUUCUCAGUAUCCAAUGGAAGCCUAACGUGCCACCUCUUCCAAGGGCAGUGCAUUUUAACUCAGACCCAACGCCCCAACCAAAUGAAAGAUCUCUAAUCUGGAAUUUUCAACAAUGGGGCUGGUGGGUCAGGGUGCACCAGAUCUCAGGAGGUUUAUCCAGAAGACUUUCAAGUGCCCCAAGAGGCUGAGUGGUCCGCCAAGUGCCUGCAUGUGUGCAGUCAGGAAGCUUGAGUCUGGGUUCUGCCUGGGGCAAGUCACUACAACUCCCAGAGCCUCAUUUCUGCUAUUCGUAAAAUGGAGAAGACACCUCCUAUGAUAUCAAGUCACUGACUUGUUCCCAGGUGCUAAAAAAUGAAAUUACAUUGCUUAGCCUUGAAACUGUGCAACCUUUCAACUGCUGAUGAAAACAACCUCAGCAAGAUGAAAAUUUCUCCAUUUUCCUGAAACUAUUCUGCAUCAUAAAAUUCAUUGCAGUCCUUUCUGCACCUGGAUAUCCUCAGCAUUAACAAUAACACCAUCAACUCACUCAUUGGACUUCAUGAAUGUGUGGUGGAGCCUCCUGAGGAUUUAACUUUCAAUACCAUGACUUAUUGAUGAGACUUGUAAUCAACAAUAAAAUUGGAAGGCC
rnacentral:lncRNA from 1 species